AUACGAAGGUCCCGAGCGUUAUUCGGAAUCACUGGGCGUAAAGAGUAUGUAGGCGGUUUGGUAAGUCAGGUGUGAAAUCCCGGAGCUCAACUUCGGAACUGCAUCCGAUACUGCCAGACUAGAGUAAUGGAGAGGCAGGUGGAAUUCUCGGUGUAGCAGUGAAAUGCGUGGAUAUCGAGAGGAAGACCAAUGGCGAAGGCAGCCUGCUGGACAUUUACUGACGCUGAGAUACGAAGGCUAGGGGAGCGAAAGGGAUUAGAAACCCGAGUAGUCC
rnacentral:rRNA from 1 species